rnacentral:rRNA from 1 species
AUUGAACGCUGGCGGUAGGCCUAACACAUGCAAGUCGAACGCGAAAGUCCUUCGGAUGAGUAGAGUGGCGGACGGGUGAGUAACGCGUAGGAAUCUAUCCUGUAGUGGGGGAUAACGUUUCGAAAGGAACGCUAAUACCGCAUACGCCCCAAGGGGGAAAGCGGGGGAUCUUCGGACCUCGUGCUAUAGGAGGAGCCUGCGUCGGAUUAGCUAGUUGGUGAGGUAAAGGCUCACCAAGGCGACGAUCCGUAGCUGGUCUGAGAGGAUGAUCAGCCACACCGGAACUGAGACACGGUCCGGACUCCUACGGGAGGCAGCAGUGGGGAAUAUUGCGCAAUGGGCGAAAGCCUGACGCAGCCAUACCGCGUGUGUGAAGAAGGCCUUC